rnacentral:rRNA from 1 species
UACGAAGGGGGCUAGCGUUGCUCGGAAUUACUGGGCGUAAAGGGAGCGUAGGCGGACAGUUAAGUCAGUGGUGAAAGCCCAGGGCUCAACCCUGGAAUAGCCUUUGAUACUGAUUGUCUUGAGUAUGGGAGAGGUAUGCGGAACUCCGAGUGUAGAGGUGAAAUUCGUAGAUAUUCGGAAGAACACCAGUGGCGAAGGCGGCAUACUGGCCCAUUACUGACGCUGAGGCUCGAAAGCGUGGGGAGCAAACAGG